rnacentral:rRNA from 1 species
CUGGCGGCAUGCUUACACAUGCAAGUCGAACGGCAGCACGGGAGCAAUCCUGGUGGCGAGUGGCGAACGGGUGAGUAAUAUAUCGGAACGUGCCCAGUCGUGGGGGAUAACGUAGCGAAAGCUACGCUAAUACCGCAUACGAUCUAUGGAUGAAAGCGGGGGAUCGCAAGACCUCGCGCGAUUGGAGCGGCCGAUAUCAGAUUAGGUAGUUGGUGAGGUAAAGGCUCACCAAGCCGACGAUCUGUAGCUGGUCUGAGAGGACGACCAGCCACACUGGGACUGAGACACGGCCCAGACUCCUACGGGAGGCAGCAGUGGGGAAUUUUGGACAAUGGGCGCAAGCCUGAUCCAGCAAUGCCGCGUGCAGGAUGAAGGCCUUCGGGUUGUAAACUGCUUUGUACGGAACGAAACGGUGAGCUCUAAUACAGUUUGCUAAUGACGGUACCGUAAGAAUAAGCACCGGCUAACUACGUG